GCGUCCCCCGCUGCGCGGGUCCCGCCUUCAGACUCAGCAUUUCUGACCUGGAAAUGCCAACAGGACUCACCGGCAUCACCAGGGGCUGCGGUGGCCGGACACGCUGAGCCUGCGGCCAGGACCGUUCUGUCGGAGGACGAGAUGGACAGUCCCUCCACUGACUGAGGUGUUUUACGUGCACUUCC